AUUUCAGUCUUCGAUUGUCGUUUGCCACAUGAUUCCAAAGCUGUGGGCCUUGACUGGAAAGCUGCCAUUCACUAGCUUUUCAGGAUAAGACAGUCCAUACAGGUUUUCCCGGUUAGGCGUCUUAGGGGUCUGCUUUGCUCACGAUGUUUGUUUUUAUGUUUUCUGUUUAUCUGUUGUGGUCAUCUCGAACACCCCUACUUUAAUUGUCUUAUGCAAUAAAAUUUCGUCUCUUCUAGAAAAAAAUAGUGGCUUAGUUCUGUUCUCUCACCUGCCUAUCAAACUCCCUUCUUCUUCUUCUUCUCUCUCUCUCUCUCUCUCUCUGAUCCUUACAAGCACCACCCUUCAAGUGCUUUUAAUUCCCCAUUAUGGACCACAAAUUCUGGUGCUCUAGUUUGGAACAACUCUUUUCUGACUGUUGGAUCUAGAGGCAAUUCAUGAACAUGACCAAAAUUGCACAUAUAAGAUGACCAUUGAGUCAUUGACAUGCAAACUUCUCAACAGUUGAAGACAUGUUAUGAAAAUCUUGCCCAUCAGAGUCUCCCUUGUACUUUCGAAAGCUUUGGAGACCACGCAAUGCCUACUUCAAGGCUUCAAGUCCUUCAAGCACCUCAAGCAUGCCCACGCUCGGCUCCUCCGCCUUGGUCUCGACCAAGACCACUAUCUUCUCAACAUGGUCUUGCGCUCUGGCUUCGAUUUUGGGCACGCGAACUACUCUUGCCUCAUCUUUCACCAAACCACACAACCCAAUAUUUUUCUUUGGAACACCAUGAUCCGUGGCCUAGUUUCUGCCGACUGCUUUGACGGGGCUAUCCAAUUCUAUAGUUCUAUGCGGACAAAGGGGUUCUUGCCCAAUCGUUUCACCUUCCCUUUUGUUUUAAAAGCUUGUGCCAGGCGUUCAGAUUUUUAUUUCGGCUUGAACAUUCAUACCCUUGUGGUGAAAACGGGGUUCGAUUUUGAUGUCUAUGUUAAGACUAGUUUACUGUGCUUGUAUGCAAAGUGUGGGUAUUUGGAACAUGCCCAUAAAGUUUUCAAUGAUAUUCCUGACAAGAAUGUGGUUUCUUGGACUGCCAUCAUUUGUGGGUACAUUGGAGCUGGUCAGUAUAAAGAAGCUAUUGAUACAUUUCGGAGGUUGUUGGAGAUGGGUUUAACUCCUGAUAGUUUUAGCGUUGUUCGGGUUCUAUCCGCGUGUGGUAGGUUAGGGGAUUUAAGCAGUGGGGAGUGGAUAGAUAGAUACAUAACCAAGAUUGGCAUGGGAAAGAAUGUGUUUGUGGCCACCUCUCUAGUUGAUUUGUAUGCUAAGUGUGGACAAAUGGUGAAAGCGCGGGGUGCCUUCGAUGGAAUGCAUGAGAAGGAUAUAGUAUCUUGGAGUAGCAUGAUUACGGGAUAUGCAUCAAAUGGGCUUCCAAAAGAAGCCAUAGACCUAUUCUUUCAAAUGCAGAAGGAAAAUUUGAAACCAGAUUGCUAUGCGAUGGUUGGGUUUCUUUCUGCUUGUGCGAGAUUAGGAGCACUAGAACUAGGGGACUGGGCUAGCAGUUUGAUAGAUAGACAUGAAUUUUUUAUGAACCCUGUUCUUGGUACAGCUUUGAUUGAUAUGUAUGCCAAAUGUGGGAGCAUGGUUCAAGCUUGGGAAGUCUUUAAAGCGAUGAAGAAAAGGGAUCAUGUGGUUUGGAAUGCAACAAUGUCUGGGCUUGCUAUGAAUGGACAUGUCAAAGCUGUUUUCGGACUCUUCGGACAAGUUGAGAAGAAUGGGAUUCGAGCUGAUGGGAACACAUUCAUGGGCCUACUUUGUGGGUGUUCUCAUGCUGGUCUUGUUGAUGAGGGCCGGAGGUAUUUCAACAACAUAAGUAGUGUUUUUUCCUUGACUCCUACAAUUGAGCAUUAUGGAUGCAUGGUGGAUCUUCUUGGCCGUGCUGGUUUCUUGGAUGAAGCUUAUAACUUAAUCAAAACUAUGCCAAUGAAGGCUAAUUCCGUCGUUUGGGGAGCGUUGUUGGGUGGAUGUAGGCUACACGCACAUAUCCAAUUUGCUGAACUCGUACUGAAACAACUCAUUGAGUUAGAACCAUGGAACUCAGCACACUAUGUUCUCCUGUCAAACAUUUACUCUGCAAGUCAAAAAUGGGAUGAGGCAGCAUACACUAGGUCAAGAAUGAAUGAGCAAGGGAUGAAGAAAAUCCCCGGUUGCAGUUGGAUCGAAGUGAAUGGGGUUGUUCACGAAUUCCUUGUUGGAGACAAGUCCCACGCAUUGUCAGAGAAGAUAUACACAAAGCUCGAUGAGUUGGCUAAGGAACUGAGAGCAGCAGGUUAUGUUCCAACCACAAACUUUGUGUUGUUUGACAUAGAAGAGGAGGAGAAGGAGCAUUUCCUUGGUUGUCAUAGUGAGAAGUUGGCUAUUGCAUUUGGUCUGAUCAGCACUGCUCCUAAAGAUACAAUUCGAGUUGUGAAGAACCUUCGUGUAUGCGGCGAUUGCCAUGAGGCCAUCAAGCUCAUCUCCAAGAUUACAGAGAGACAGAUAAUUCUUCGGGAUAAUAACAGAUUCCAUUGUUUCGUAGAUGGUUCAUGUUCUUGUAAAAAUUAUUGGUAAAAUUUGAUUAAAAUAACACAAUUUUGAUACCAACCCUUUGGUGCCAAUUAUCCCAAAGAUGAUCAUCAUGUUUAAUUGUAGGGAAAUUGGUGACUUUGACCUUAGCUUGUAUACUUUUGGAAAAAUGACCCUCCCUCUAUAACUUUUGGUUAAAUGGCCUCUAGAAAUACUGCACCUGUAACUUUUUUUCCACCGUCAUUUUUUAUGCUCUGAAAUGGAGCCCUAUCUCUCACUUCUCUUCUCUCUUCUCUGACGAACCCAAGAGGCCCCAAAUUCAUCUCAAGCUGCCAAUCUCUGUCUCUGUCUCUCUCCAGGUAGCCAUAGUUGCAGCGCUGGAUUAGUGGUCCAAAAACUCAUUCUAAUAUUAAAUUACUCUGGAGGACUCAAGUUAGAAAAUGUUCUAACUCCUUUGGAGAUGGAAAGAUUUUUCGAUGCAACUGUAUGAGACCAAAAUUUGGGAAGCUUUGAGUAAGAACUAUAUCCGCAGGGAAGACCGAGAAUGGGUGAUUAUCACUAUCAAUUCUUGGUUAUCUUCAAAUUAGUGGUGUACCAUAAUCUUCGCUGAUCAGUCUUGUCCUGCUCUACUUGUUUUAUUUAAGUUCCUGGAAAGAAAAUUGGAAUUGUAUCUAUGUUCACUUACACGAGCAAUUCAAGCAUUUCAAAAUGUUUGGGUAA